rnacentral:rRNA from 1 species
GACGAACGCUGGCGGCGUGCUUAACACAUGCAAGUCGAGCGGUAAGGCCCUUUCGGGGGUACACGAGCGGCGAACGGGUGAGUAAACACGUGGGUGACCUGCCCUCAGCUCUGGGAUAAGCCUGGGAAACCGGGUCUAAUACUGGAUAUGACUCCAUGACGCAUGUUGUGGGGUGGAAAGCCUUGUGCGGCUGAGGAUGGGCCCGCGG